AGGCCUAACACAUGCAAGUCGAACGGUAACAGGGAGCUUGCUCCGCUGACGAGUGGCGAACGGGUGAGUAAUGUAUCGGAACGUACCAUUCAGUGGGGGAUAACGUAGCGAAAGUUACGCUAAUACCGCAUAUUCUGUGCGCAGGAAAGCAGGGGAUCGCAAGACCUUGCGCUGAUUGAGCGGCCGAUAUCAGAUUAGCUAGUUGGUGAGGUAAAAGCUCACCAAGGCGACGAUCUGUAGCGGGUCUGAGAGGAUGAUCCGCCACACUGGAACUGAGACACGGUCCAGACUCCUACGGGAGGCAGCAGUGGGGAAUUUUGGACAAUGGGGGCAACCCUGAUCCAGCCAUGCCGCGUGAGUGAAGAAGGCCUUCGGGUUGUAAAGCUCUUUCAGCCGGGAAGAAAAUGCAUGGGUUAAUACCCUGUGCAGAUGACGGUACCGGAAUAAGAAGCACCGGCUAACUACGUGCCAGCAGCCGCGGUAAUACGUAGGGUGCGAGCGUUAAUCGGAAUUACUGGGCGUAAAGCGUGCGCAGGCGGUUUUGUAAGACAGGCGUGAAAUCCCCGGGCUUAACCUGGGAACUGCGUUUGUGACUGCAAGGCUAGAGUACGGCAGAGGGGGGUGGAAUUCCACGUGUAGCAGUGAAAUGUGUAGAGAUGUGGAGGAACACCAAUGGCGAAGGCAGCCCCCUGGGUCGAUACUGACGCUCAUGCACGAAAGCGUGGGUAGCAAACAGGAUUAGAUACCCUGGUAGUCCACGCCCUAAACGAUGUCAACUAGGUGUUGGGAGGGUAAAACCUUUUAGUACCGUAGGUAACGCGAGAAGUUGACCGCCUGGGGAGUACGGCCGCAAGGUUAAAACUCAAAGGAAUUGACGGGGACCCGCACAAGCGGUGGAUGAUGUGGAUUAAUUCGAUGCAACGCGAAAAACCUUACCUACCCUUGACAUGUCNGGAACUUUCCAGAGAUGGAUUGGUGCCCGAAAGGGAACCUGAACACAGGUGCUGCAUGGCUGUCGUCAGCUCGUGUCGUGAAGUGUUGGGUUAAGUCCCGCAACGAGCGCAACCCUUGUCGUUAAUUGCCAUCAUUCAGUUGGGCACUNUUAACGAGACUGCCGGUGACAAACCGGAGGAAGGUGGGGAUGACGUCAAGUCCUCAUGGCCCUUAUGGGUAGGGCUUCACACGUCAUACAAUGGUCGGUACAAAGGGUCGCCAACCCGCGAGGGGGAGCUAAUCCCAUAAAGCCGAUCGUAGUCCGGAUUGCAGGCUGCAACUCGCCUGCAUGAAGUCGGAAUCGCUAGUAAUCGUGGAUCAGCAUGUCACGGUGAAUACGUUCCCGGGUCUUGUACACACUGCCCGUC
rnacentral:rRNA from 1 species